CUGGGCUACACUUUUACUACGGAAUUGUGGACCACUGUGGUCCAGAGAGGGCAGGGGACUUGCCCAAAGGCACACAGUGUGUCAGUGGCUGAGUGAAAAAGUCGAAGCCAGGAUUCUUGACCCUUGGCCCAAGGUUUAUUUUAGACCAUCCCGCAAAAUGCUCAAAGAAGCGGCCAAUUCGCUGAGCGACGAUUUUGUAUUUUUGUUUCUUUGGAGCAACCUAUACAGAAGGUACCAUUAUUUCUCCUACGUGACUGAUGGAGGAACGUGUUCGAGGCGGUUCGAACAUGCUCGAACAUGUUGCUCGAACGUGAGGAGGUUGCUCAGGGUCAUUCUGUGGAAGACCCAGGAUUUGACACGAGGUGCCUGCCCCAACUGGAAACUCCAAAUAGGAUCUGCUUGCUAUUUUGGCUCUUUCAGAGGGAAAUCAAUGGCGUUCGACUGAGUCAGCCUUAAAAUCUACUCUCUUGAGAGCUUUCAUCCGAAGCUCCUCCCGCAUCUCCCAGAGCUCACAGAGAGUCCUUGCGCUGUCCCCGGGAAGAGCCACCAGGCCCCGGGGCCUGAGGCGGCCAAGAGGGCUUUGUCUGUCUUGUUGUCAACAACAAUUUCCAGUGGGGCCCUGGUAGAGCCGACAUGGCUCUGGUGUUGGAAAGCACGAGAAAUCCCAGAGGGGUGGGGCGACUUCCGCAGCCACAGCGGGGGUCAUGCCGCUCUGGACCCCCGACCGUCACCUCCCUCCGGUGUGGCCCCCCCAACCACGCACACCCACACUGCCUGAAAGACCCUGGGGCCCCUGGACAUCGUCUUCAUCUGUCUCUGGGGUCACCUGGUGACCCCUCUGCCCCACAGCUGCUUUCACCUGUAAAAGGGGGUUCAGUGCCUAAAGACGGGUUGAGGAUACAAUGGGACAGCCCCCGCAGCUCCCUGACACCAGCUGGAGUCAAAAGGUGACCGUGGUGCUCUGCGUCAUCGUGCAUUCCUCCGGAAGAAUCUGAGUGGUCUAUUUCACCUUUCCCGGCCGGACCCCGUGAGUCCCUGGCCAACCAGUGAGCAGCUCGCCCUAGGGUAGGCCCUUUGCUACGCCCAAUCAGAGGGCCAGGGGCAGGUCACAUGACCGGAGCAAAGUCGACUUCGGGAGUUCAGAUUACCGCGUAAGGAUCCUCCCGGAAAUGGGUGAGGGUGGUCUCGGCUCCCUGAAUCCAACCGGGAACAGCCGGUGAGGAGCAGAGGACCAAAGCCCUUUGUGCCUUCUGCCGGCUGGGUGCCUUUGGACAAGUCCCCGGAAGAAGGUGCGUGUGUCAUUUGCGAAGUGGCACAACCGCAAACCAUCUGUUUUCCCAGCACCACCGUGCGCGUCCGGCUGCAUAAUUCAAACCAGGCUGCCGGCACAGGGGCUGGCACCGAGGAGGUUUUCAGGACCUCUGGAUUCCCCUUCAGACCCGAGGGGCUUGGACAUCCUCUUCUCGGCCCUUUAUUGAAGACGGCUCGCCCAAAGGUGACGACAGUCUGAACCGAGAGGGCUCAUCUAGUUUUCAGUCCCGCCGUGCCACCAAUUUAUUUUGGUCCGUGCACCUGUUGGCAUCUUGGAGUGCAAAGGCCUACUAAUUUUGAGCAGUAGCAGCAGCCGGGGUUUUGUACCAAGCCGGGCGCUUUUCAUGUACCAUCAGAUUCGCUUUUCACCUCGAAGUUCCGAUCAGCCAAGACUAACCGAGUGUUUGCUGCGCGCUCGGCCCUGGGGAUGCAGAAAGGGACCUGGCCCGGCCGCCCCCUGCGGAGACCUCACGGUCUCGGGAGCAGUGAGAGCGCGCCAGGCGAUCAGAGACCCGCACCGCACCCCCCAGCACGUAGCUACCUCUGAAGGGACCUCCGGGAAACGAAUGAAAGCCAUGUGCGUGAUAGAGAUAAGAUAAAAUUGCAGGAAGUAAGGCACGUUCCAAUUCUCCUUGGGGAGAUUUGGAGGAGGCUUCACAGCGGAAGUUCUUCUCUGCGCUGGGUCUUGAAGAAGAUAAAGAAAGCGUUUCACCGCCCGGAGAAGGGAAGAGGGUGUAGCAUGCAUCGUUGGGGCUCCACCCGUAUCUCUUGGCACGAAGAGUUGCUGCGCAAACCAGCCCUGCCCGAUGGCCAGCACCGAUAGCGCUUCGUCUGGGGGUUUGUCUGGCCCUCGGAGCUGGCUCCGCCCUCUGGAGGGGCAGGCAGGAGGGCGCUGGGAAUCGGCCCUCUCCGGAAGCCCUCAACCACUAACAGCCAGGAGUGGGUGUAUCAAUACCCCAGCUCCCUCCCUUCAUCGGUGUGUUGUGUCCAAUCUGCCAGGGCUCCCCACUGAGAACCCCGGUAACCGCCUUCUCCACUCCUCCCGCCGCUCCCUGAUUUGGCCUUCCUGCACACGCGGAGUAAACCACUCCUCUCCAGGCUC